GCGGGCGUAGCUCAGCUGGCAGAGUGCGAGCUUCCCAAGCUUGAGGUCGCGGGUUCGAUCCCCGUCGCCCGCUCCA
rnacentral:tRNA from 1 species